GAAGAGAUGGCCGAGUGGUUCAACCCAUAGCACUGGAACUGCUAUGUAGGCUUUUGUUUACCGAGGGUUCAAAUCCCUCUAUUUUCA
rnacentral:tRNA from 1 species